AGUUGAAGUUUCGUCUUAACACACCUACUCCAUAUGUCUUUAUGUUGAGAUUUCUCAAGGCUGCUCAGUCAGAUACAAAGGAAGAAGACAAUGAAGAUGAGUUGAUUGGCAUGUUGGGCAUGUGGUAGAGCUAACUCCUAUAAUGACGGAUGGAUUUUAUAUCUCAUACUCUGGACACAUCUCAUUUCUUUAUUCACAAGUAGCAGGAUAAACAGACUUGAUUGAUGCUAAGUGGGAAGAUGAGGAUCUUUUAAAAAGCUCUUCAUACAACAUGAGCACAGCAAUAAUUUGCAAAUGAGUCAAUAGACUGAGGAACAAGAAAAUUUAUCUCCUUCAAUUAUGUCUG